rnacentral:rRNA from 1 species
GGGUUGUGAGGUUAAGCGACUAAGCGUACACGGUGGAUGCCCUGGCAGUCAGAGGCGAUGAAGGGCGUGCUAAUCUGCGAUAAGCGCCGGUAAGGUGAUAUGAACCGUUAUAACCGGCGAUACCCGAAUGGGGAAACCCAGUGUGAUUCGUCACACUAUCAUUAACUGAAUCCAUAGGUUAAUGAGGCGAACCGGGGGAACUGAAACAUCUAAGUACCCCGAGGAAAAGAAAUCAACCGAGAUUCCCCCAGUAGCGGCGAGCGAACGGGGAGGAGCCCAGAGCCUGAAUCAGCAUGUGUGUUAGUGGAAGCGUCUGGAAAGGCGCGCGAUACAGGGUGACAGCCCCGUACACAAAAGCGCAUGUGCUGUGAGCUCGAUGAGUAGGGCGGGACACGUGGUAUCCUGUCUGAAUAUGGGGGGACCAUCCUCCAAGGCUAAAUACUCCUGACUGACCGAUAGUGAACCAGUACCGUGAGGGAAAGGCGAAAAGAACCCCGGCGAGGGGAGUGAAAAAGAACCUGAAACCGUGUACGUACAAGCAGUGGGAGCACCCUUCGGGGUGUGACUGCGUACCUUUUGUAUAAUGGGUCA